UAAUGCUGAAAAAUAUCUUCAAUGACAU
rnacentral:piRNA from 1 species